GUAGGUGAACCUGCGGAAGGAUCAUUAAUGAAACUUCAAAGUCGGCUCGUCUGUCUGUGCUGGUGGAGACACAUGUGCACGUCGGCGAGUCGCAAAUCCACACACACCUGUGCAUCUAUGACUCUGAGUACCGCUUUGCAUGGCCCUCAGGGGCCUGGUACUCGAGUACUUUACACACUCUGAAUGUAAUGGAAUGUCUUUUUGUACAAUGUACAACUAAAAACAACUUUCAACAACGGAUCUCUUGGCUCUCGCAUCGAUGAAGAACGCAGCGAAAUGCGAUAAGUAAUGUGAAUUGCAGAAUUCAGUGAAUCAUCGAAUCUUUGAACGCACCUUGCACCCUUUGGUAUUCCGAAGGGUACACCCGUUUGAGUGUCAUUGUAAUCUCACUACAACCACUUUAUUGUUGUUUGUAUGUGGACUUGGAUGUUGCCGUGUAACAAACGGCUCGUCUGAAAUGCCUGAGUGUACCCUGCUUUUGCGGCGUAUUCGGUGUGAUAAAUCUUCACCGGAGUUGACUUUCGGGUCGCGCUUGUAUCGUCGGGCUCUAUGCUUCCAACCGUCCUCACAAGACAAUCUCUGACAAUUUGACCUCAAAUCGGGUGGGACUACCCGCUGAACUUAAGCAUAUCAAUAAGCGGAGGAAAAGAAACUAACAAGGAUUCCCCUAGUAACGGCGAGUGAAGAGGGAAAAGCUCAAAUUUUGAAUCUGGUGUCUUUGACUCCCGAGUUGUAAUCUAGAGAAGUGUUUUCCGCGUUGGACCGUGUACAAGUUCCCUGGAACGGGGCGUCAUAGAGGGUGAGAAUCCCGUAUAUGCCACGGACUACCAAUGCUCUGUGAUACACUCUCAACGAGUCGAGUUGUUUGGGAAUGCAGCUCAAAAUGGGUGGUAAAUUCCAUCUAAAGCUAAAUAUUGGCGAGAGACCGAUAGCGAACAAGUACCGUGAGGGAAAGAUGAAAAGCACUUUGGAAAGAGAGUGAAACAGUACGUGAAAUUGUUGAAAGGGAAGCGUUUGAAGUCAGUCACGUCUGUCGGAAUUCAGCCUGGCUUCUGCCUGGUGUACUUUCCGUCCGACGGGUCAGCAUCAAUUUCGACCGAGGGAAAAAGACGUGAGGAAUGUGGCUGUCUUCGGGCAGUGUUAUAGCCUCGGGUUGUAUGUCUCGGUUGGGAUUGAGGAACGCAGCGCGCC
rnacentral:rRNA from 1 species